rnacentral:rRNA from 1 species
AGCGAACGCUGGCGGCAGGCCUAACACAUGCAAGUCGAACGAACCUUUCGGGGUUAGUGGCGGACGGGUGAGUAACACGUGGGAACGUGCCGUUAGGUUCGGAAUAACUCAGGGAAACUUGUGCUAAUACCGAAUGUGCCCUUCGGGGGAAAGAUUUAUCGCCUUUAGAGCGGCCCGCGUCUGAUUAGCUAGUUGGUUGAGGUUAUGGCGCACCAAGGCGACGAUCAGUAGCUGGUCUGAGAGGAUGAUCAGCCACAUUGGGACUGAGACACGGCCCAAACUCCUACGGGAGGCAGCAGUGGGGAAUCUUGCGCAAUGGGCGAAAGCCUGACGCAGCCAUGCCGCGUGAAUGAUGAAGGUCUUAGGAUUGUAAAAUUCUUUCAACGGGGACGAUAAUGACGGUACCCGGAGAAGAAGCCCCGGCUAACUUCGUG